AACGAACGCUGGCGGCAGGCCUAACACAUGCAAGUCGAGCGGACCUUUCGGGGUCAGCGGCGGACGGGUGAGUAACGCGUGGGAAUAUGCCCUUCUCUACGGAAUAGUCCUGGGAAACUGGGGGUAAUACCGUAUACGCCCUUUGGGGGAAAGAUUUAUCGGGGAAGGAUUAGCCCGCGUUGGAUUAGGUAGUUGGUGGGGUAAUGGGCUACCAAGCCGACGAUCCAUAGCUGGUUUGAGAGGAUGAUCAGCCACACUGGGACUGAGACACGGCCCAGACUCCUACGGGAGGCAGCAGUGGGGAAUCUUAGACAAUGGGGGCAACCCUGAUCUAGCCAUGCCGCGUGAGUGAUGAAGGCCUUAGGGUUGUAAAGCUCUUUCAGCUGGGAAGAUAAUGACGGUACCAGCAGAAGAAGCCCCGGCUAACUCCGUG
rnacentral:rRNA from 1 species